rnacentral:lncRNA from 1 species
CACAGCUGUACUUGCAAUUACCAGGAUAUAAAUCCAUGUGAAAUAAUCUGUGUCAAUAAAUGUGGUGUGAGUUUUUCCCCUUGUGUAACUGUAAAUACAUUUAAAUCUUAGGGGAUGAUUUGGACAUGGAGUGUUAAAUGAUGCUGAGUUAGACAGUGAAGUAGCAUGACUCCAGAGAAGAAAAUGAAUAUCAUCUCUUCCAAGAAUAUACCAAUCAUUUAUGAAUUACCACACAACUAAAGUGGAGUAUGAGCUGUAAACCUCUGGGGAUCUACGGGAUGAUGACGUUUUCAAAGGGCCAGCAAGUCACCUCAUCCUCUCAGACACACUUCCUGAAAUGAUGCCAUGGUUUAAUCUUCCUCAGAAAACAACAUGUUUGUAUCCCUUGACAGCGCCCUAUUACAGCUUGAUAAAGAUAUGCACCCCUUAAAAGAGCUUGUGCUGCUU